UACGGAGGGUGCAAGCGUUAUCCGGAUUUACUGGGUUUAACGGGUGCGUAGGUGGGUCUGUAAGUCAGUGGUGAAAUCUCCGAGCUUAACUCGGAAACUGCCAUUGAUACUAUAGGUCUUGAAUUAUCUGGAGGUAAGCGGAAUAUGUCAUGUAGCGGUGAAAUGCUUAGAUAUGACAUAGAACACCAAUUGCGAAGGCAGCUUACUACGGAUAUAUUGACACUGAGGCACGAAAGCGUGGGGAUCAAACAGG
rnacentral:rRNA from 1 species